rnacentral:rRNA from 1 species
AGAGUUUGAUCCUGGCUCAAGAUGAAUGCUGGCGGCGUGCCUAAUACAUGCAAGUCGAGCGGUAACGGGAAGUUCCACCGUGUUCUUGACACUCAAGGCUGUUAGCUUGAGGUUGAUUUCGAGAGCACUGUGGAUCCUCGCCGACGAGCGGUGGACGGCUGAAUAACGCGUGGGAACGGACCCCAAACUGAGGGAUAACUAGUCAAAAGAUUAGCUAAUACCGCAUGUGAUCUUCGGAUUAAAGGAUUUAUCCGGUUUGGGACUGGCCUGCGUACGAUUAGAUAUUAGGUUAGGUAACGGCUUACCCAGUCUACGAUCGUUAGACGGUUUGAGAAGAUGAUCAUCCAGACUGGGACUGAGAUACGCCCCAGACUCUUACGGGAGGCAGCAGUAGGGAAUCUUUCACAAUGGGCGAAAGCCUGAUGGAGCAACGCCGCGUGCAGGAUGACGGCCUUGGGGUUGUAAACUGCUUUUAAACUUGAGAAAUAUGAUGGUAAAGUUUGAAUAAGGACCGGCUAACUACGUGCCAGCAGCCGCGGUCAUACGUAGGGUCCAAGCGUUAUCCGGAUUGACUGGGUGUAAAGAGUUGCGUCGGUGGCGUGGUGAGUUGUUGGUGGAUUCUGGUGGCUCUGCCUUUCGGCCUGUUCUCUUUUCUGCCUGGCUCGCGUGUGUUUGGGGUGGCUGGAUUUUCUCGUGUGGGGGUGGGUUCCGUGGUUGUUUGUCNGNUCGCCGUUGGCGUGGGCCGGUUUCUGGGCCGUUUCUGUCGCUCGGGCUCGUNNGCGUGGGGNGCUNCCCGAAGAGACCUCCGGUAGUCUACGCCGUAAACGAUGGAUACUAGCAGUUUGGGGUAUCGACCCCCCGAGUUGCGAAGCUAACGCGUUAAGUAUCCCACCUGUGUUAGUACGAUCGCAAGAUUAAAACAUAAAGGAAUUGACGGGGACCCGCACAAGCGGUGGAGCGUGAUCUUUAAUUCGAUGGUAAACGAUAAACCUUACCAAGGCUUGACAUCCGAGGAAGGCUCUCGAAAGAGAACUGUGCCUUCGGGAACCUCGAGACAGGUGAUGCAUGGCCGUCGUCAGCUCGUGUCGUGAGAUGUUUGGUUAAGUCCAUCAACGAGCGCAACCCUUGCAACCAGUUAGAUUUUUCUGGUAGGACUGCCCCGGUAACGGGGAGGAAGGAGGGGAUGAUGUCAGGUCAGUAUUUCCCUUACGCCUUGGGCUAGAAUCGCGCUACAAUGGCCGGUACAAUGCGAAGCGAAGCAGUGAUGUGAAGCAAAUCGCACCAAAGCCGGUCCCAGUUCGGACUGGAGGCUGAAACUCGCCUCCACGAAGUCGGAAUCGCUAGUAAUCGCAGAUCAGCAUGUUGCGGUGAAUACGUUCCCGGGUCUUGCACACACCGCCCGUCAA